rnacentral:lncRNA from 1 species
UUCAAUUUAGUCCCUAAAACCUAAAUAGUCAUAUUUUCAAAUCUAAGCUUCUUUUUUCAAUUCAAAUUCAAUUUCAUCCUUCCAUAACAUUCAAAUAUUCUUAAAUACAAAAAUUUCAUGCUAAUUUUGAAAUAAUUACACUUUAGUCCCUAUACUCGUAACUAACAAAUUAUACUUUACAAAUUAGUCCCUAUUCAUCUC